rnacentral:rRNA from 1 species
UCCGCAAUGGGCGAAAGCCUGACGGAGCAAUCUCGCGUGAGGGAUGACUGCCUAUGGGUUGUAAACCUCUUUUUUCAGGGAGGAAUCAAUGACGUGUACCUGAAGAAUAAGCAUCGGCUAACUCCGUGCCAGCAGCCGCGGUAAGACGGAGGAUGCAAGUGUUAUCCGGAAUCACUGGGCGUAAAGCGUCUGUAGGUGGUUUAAUAAGUCAACUGUUAAAUCUUGAAGCUCAACUUCAAAAUCGGAGUCGAAACUAUUAGACUAGAGUAUAGUAGGGGUAAAGGGAAUUUCCAGUGGAGCGGUGAAAUGCGUAGAGAUUGGAAAGAACACCGAUGGCGAAGGCACUUUACUGGGCUAUUACUGACACUCAGAGACGAAAGCUAGGGUAGCAAAUGGGAUUAGAUACCCC